GACCAGACUCCUACGGGAGGCAGCAGUGGGGAAUAUUGCACAAUGGGGGAAACCCUGAUGCAGCAACGCCGCGUGAGUGAAGAAGUAUUUCGGUAUGUAAAGCUCUAUCAGCAGGGAAGAAAAUGACGGCACCUGACCAAGAAGCCCCGGCUAACUACGUGCCAGCAGCCGCGGUAAUACGUAGGGGGCAAGCGUUAUCCGGAUUUACUGGGUGUAAAGGGAGCGUAGACGGCAAGGCAAGUCUGGAGUGAAAGCCCGGGGCCCAACCACGGGACUGCUUUGGAAACUGUGUUGCUGGAGUGCAGGAGGGGUAAGCGGAAUUCCUGGUGUAGCGGUGAAAUGCGUAGAUAUUAGGAGGAACACCAGUGGCGAAGGCGGCUUACUGGACUGUAACUGACGUUGAGGCUCGAAGGCGUGGGGAGCAAACAGGAUUAGAUACCCGUGUA
rnacentral:rRNA from 1 species